CCCAGCUUGCUGGGUGGAUCAGUGGCGAACGGGUGAGUAACACGUGAGCAACCUGCCCUCCACUUCGGGAUAAGCCUUGGAAACGGGGUCUAAUACCGGAUAUGAGCGCCUGCCGCAUGGUGGGUGUUGGAAAGUUUUUCGGUGGGGGAUGGGCUCGCGGCCUAUCAGCUUGUUGGUGGGGUGAUGGCCUACCAAGGCUUCGACGGGUAGCCGGCCUGAGAGGGCGACCGGCCACACUGGGACUGAGACACGGCCCAGACUCCUACGGGAGGCAGCAGUGGGGAAUAUUGCACAAUGGGCGCAAGCCUGAUGCAGCGACGCCGCGUGAGGGAUGACGGCCUUCGGGUUGUAAACCUCUUUCAGCAGGGAAGAAGCGCAAGUGACGGUACCUGCAGAAGAAGCGCCGGCUAACUACGUGCCAGCAGCCGCGGUAAUACGUAGGGCGCAAGCGUUGUCCGGAAUUAUUGGGCGUAAAGAGCUCGUAGGCGGUCUGUCGCGUCUGGUGUGAAAACCCGAGGCUCAACCUCGGGCUUGCAUCGGGUACGGGCAGACUAGAGUGCGGUAGGGGAGACUGGAAUUCCUGGU
rnacentral:rRNA from 1 species